rnacentral:lncRNA from 1 species
AUGCCUCACUUUCUUUUCACACCCCAAAAGUGGUUUUCACGAUAGAGAAUAGAUAUCUCAUGGUGAAAUCACUUUUUUUGUUGCAUAAAAUAAAUUCCUUCUUAUGGUAUGGCGUCAAGAAAGAUUGGAUAAGGUCAAACCUCAUCCUGAUAAAAAAUAAGUUUCAAAUCAAAUUUGAAACUUUCCUUAUCUUCUUAUCCAUACCCUUUUGGGCAUUUAGAAGGGGGCAUUACCUACCUUUGGCAUGAGAUAUCUCAUGCAAAAAAAGAAAUAAGAGGUGCUUUCUCGUGGGCAGUGUGAUAUCAUGGGUGGGCAAGAGAGAGAGAGAGUCCCAGUAGACUGGAACUCCUCCUUUUGGUGCUAAAUUGAUUCCCAAACAAAUCAGAUUUGCUUGCACCCAAUAAGAGGAAAAAAUCCAAUCAAAUUAGGAACCCAAUC